AGUGAACGCUGGCGGUAGGCCUAACACAUGCAAGUCGAACGGCAGCACCGUAAGAGCUUGCUCUUCCGGGUGGCGAGUGGCGGACGGGUGAGGAAUACAUCGGAAUCUACUUUUUCGUGGGGGAUCACGUAGGGAAACUUACGCUAAUACCGCAUACGACCUACGGGUGAAAGCAGGGGAUCUUCGGACCUUGCGCGAUUGAAUGCGCCGAUGUCGGAUUUGCUAGUUGGCGGGGUAAAGGCCCACCAAGGCGACGAUCCGUAGCUGGUCUGAGAGAAUGAUAACCCACACGGGAGCGGAAACACGGACCAGACUCCUACGGGAGGCAGCAGAGGGGAAUAUUGGGCAAUGGGCGCAAGCCUGAUCCAGCCAUACCGCGUGGGUGAAAAAGGCCUUGGGGUUGUGAAGCCCGUUUGUUGGGAAAGAAAAGCAGCAGGUUAAUACCCCGCUGGUCUGACGGUACCCAAAGAAGAAGCACCGGCUAACUUCGUG
rnacentral:rRNA from 1 species